rnacentral:rRNA from 1 species
GAUGAACGCUGGCGGCGUGCUUAACACAAGCAAGUCGAACGAUGAAGCCCAGCUUGCUGGGUGGAUUAGUGGCGAACGGGUGAGUAACACGUGAGUAACCUGCCCUUAACUCUGGGAUAAGCCUGGGAAACUGGGUCUAAUACCGGAUAGGAGCGCCUACCGCAUGGUGGGUGUUGGAAAGAUUUAUCGGUUUUGGAUGGACUCGCGGCCUAUCAGCUUGUUGGUGAGGUAAUGGCUCACCAAGGCGACGACGGGUAGCCGGCCUGAGAGGGUGACCGGCCACACUGGGACUGAGACACGGCCCAGACUCCUACGGGAGGCAGCAGUGGGGAAUAUUGCACAAUGGGCGAAAGCCUGAUGCAGCGACGCCGCGUGAGGGAUGACGGCCUUCGGGUUGUAAACCUCUUUCAGUAGGGAAGAAGCGAAAGUGACGGUACCUGCAGAAGAAGCACCGGCUAACUACGUG